AGUUAAAAAGAGCAAUGGUUGCUCGUUAGGCUCAUGUCCUAAAGGCUGUUGGUUCAAAUCCAACUUUAACUA
rnacentral:tRNA from 1 species